AUUGAACGCUGGCGGAAUGCUUUACACAUGCAAGUCGAACGGCAGCACGGACUUCGGUCUGGUGGCGAGUGGCGAACGGGUGAGUAAUAUAUCGGAACGUGCCCAGUCGUGGGGGAUAACGUAGCGAAAGUUACGCUAAUACCGCAUACGAUCUAUGGAUGAAAGCGGGGGAUCGCAAGACCUCGCGCGAUUGGAGCGGCCGAUAUCAGAUUAGGUAGUUGGUGGGGUAAAGGCUCACCAAGCCAACGAUCUGUAGCUGGUCUGAGAGGACGAGCAGCCACACUGGAGCUGCGACACGGUCCAGACUCCGACGGGAGGCAGCAGUGGGGAAUUUUGGACAAUGGACGCAAGUCUGAUCCAGCCAUUCCGCGUGCAGGAUGAAGGCCCUCGGGUUGUAAACUGCUUUUGUACGGAACGAAAAGGUCUCCAUUAAUACUGGGGGCUCAUGACGGUACCGUAAGAAUAAGCACCGGCUAACUACGUGCCAGCCGCCGCAGUAAAAC
rnacentral:rRNA from 1 species